UAGCUUUUAUUUGGCAUAUUACGUUCCCAAUUUGGAUAAUCGUACCAAUUGUUAUGAUUUUUCAAAGAAAUUGUGGAAACAAAUGUUUUAAACCUUUGUUUCGAGAACUCGUCAAACAAACACGAGUCAACUCCGUACCAUGUGAAUUGAUGCCUGGAGUGUGUUGUAUUUGGUAAAUAGAACGCCAUAGAAAUUGUGUAUUAUGUUCGAUUGUCAGUUAUGGCAUAAGAUUUAAGUUAGGAUGUUUAUAUGAAAUAGAACCGAAUAGUAAACGAUUAUGUUAACAUUCGAUAACUUGUUUAAUUCUAAUAUUUGAUAGGUGUUGAGUAUAUUUAUGCUCUCAUUAAAGACUUGAGCAUGACUCCGAAGUAAGGUGUUUUUAUAGCACUUGCAUUGGACUUCAGGUUGGACUGUUUGAUGAAGUGAAAGAACGUUAUCGUGGAAGUCAUAUUUGUUGUCGCUUAACAAUUUAUGAAGUGGAAUUUAUUAUGAAA